AGCAUUUCCUCAAUCUUGACCCGCAAGGACUCUCAGCCCGUCCACGUCCGCCGUCUAUGCGCGCUCCCGAACAUGCCCUCUGCGACAGGUAUAAGAGCCUAGCGCAUCGGUGACAAGGCAGAGCAACCGAGCCAUGUCGCAUGCCCGGCAAGCUCUCAUUCUUUUAUCAAAAAUGGCGAAAAGCCCACCCCUCAAAGCUCUCUACCUCUUUGAUUUCUCCACCCUUCAUGGCCUGCAACACAACACCCAAUCCAUAUCCUUUAUCCUCUACCUCCUCCUCUCUUCCACCAUGCUUUCCCAAGCCCAGUCUUUUCUCCUCCAAAUUCUUUCUGGUCGAAUCUCCUGUUCAAUCUUCAACCCCUCGUCUCUUCUUCAUCAUGUAACCACGCAACCUUGUUUCAGCCUAAAUUCAACAAAUACAGUCCGUUUAUACGAAUCAAUUGUUAAUGCUCACGUUCAAUCUCAGUUGCUAGAGGAAUCUGUUUUUUAUUUUAACCAAAUGGUUGAUAAAGGUCUUGUUCCUGGAUCAAACACGUUUAAUAAUCUUAUGGGUUUUCUUCUUCGAUCAAGUGGUUUUCAAAAAGCAUGGGUCUUUUUUAACGAGAAUAGGGGGAAGGUUAGUUUUGAUUUGUAUAGCUUUGGGAUAAUUAUAAAGGGUUGUUGCCAGGCUGGUGAUUUGAGUAAAGCAUUCGAGCUUUUGAUUCAAUUGGAAGAGAUGGGUAUCUCUGCAAAUGUAAUUAUAUACACGACUCUGAUUGAUGGGUGCUGUAAGAAUGGUAAUAUUGAGGAGGGAAAGAGAUUGUUUUACAAGAUGAAUCAGUUGGGAUUGGUUGCUAAUCAGCAUACAUACACAGUUCUGCUCAACGGAUUGUUCAAAAAUGGCUUUAAAAGAGAUGGGCUUGAGCUCUACAAGAAGAUGAAAAUCAAUGGUGUCUCGCCCAAUUUAUACACUUACAAUUGUAUGAUAAAUUUAUACUGCAAAAAUGGGGACGUACGUAAAGCCUUUGAGCUGUUCGAUGAAAUGCGCGGGAGAGGAUUGGCGUGUAAUGCAGUUACAUACAAUACUUUGAUUGGUGGGUUGUGUCAGAAGAUGAAGAUUUGGGAGGCUGAAAAGCUAGUCAAUCAAAUGAAAGUGGUUGGUAUAAAUCCAAAUUUGAUAACCUACAACACACUGAUUGAUGGGUUCUGCAAUGUUGGAAUAUUGGACAAGGCUAUGAGUUUAUUCAACCAAUUGAAAUCUAAUGGUCACCUUCCAUCUCUAGUGACUUACAAUGUUCUGAUUGCAGGUUUUUGCAAAGCAGGAAACUCAACAAGAGUGGUUGAGUUAGUGAGGGAGAUGGAGGAGAGAGGCAUCAGGCCAUCAUCGGUGACAUACACGGUCUUAAUCGAUACUUUCCUCAGAUUAGAUAACAGGGAAAGAGUAUAUGAAGUAUUUUCAUCCAUGGAAAAAGCAGGUUUAGUUCCUGAUGUUUAUACUUAUGGUGUUUUGAUUAAUGGGUUGCGUAAGAAAGGAAACAUGAGGGAGGCAUCCAAGGUUUUUAAAUCAAUGGGGGAGGUGGGAGUUGAGGCAAAUGACGUUAUAUAUAAUAUAAUGAUCAAUGGGUAUUGCAAAGAGGGAAGCUCCUAUAGAGCUCUGCGGUUGCUUAACGAAAUGGAUGAGAAGGGUUUGGUUCCUAAUGUUGCUAGUUACAGUUCCACCAUUGGAGUUCUCUGCAAGGAUGGGAAAUGGCAAGAGGCUGAGACUUUGCUUAAAAAGUUGAAAGAUUCAGGUCUUCAGCCAUCCAUAUCUAUUUAUAAUAUGAUCUCUAAAGCCAAAAAUGGUAUGUAUAAGUUAGGAUCUAAAGCACUUGUUGAAGAAGGUGAUGGAUAUGGAGCCUUAAGUUGAUAUAGCCCAAGCUUCCAUUUCAUGUAGAGCAGCUUGGAGAUUCCCUGCAAGAUUUUUUGACCAUUCUUCAUUGCUGGGUGAUAACCAGGGUCUUCUACUAGAACCUUCUUCCCCGCAAUGUCAUAAGGUCCUCGAAUCCAACGGUUACGGUAUUGCCACGUCAUCUACGUUUUCUCGUCUCUCUUCAUUUCAUCCACGGUUCGUCCGUCCGUCCGUUCUUUAUAUAAAAUGGCGCUGCAACUGAAAAGCUGAGCUCAACAGUACUACUCCUUCAACUCGCUGUUGCUC